AAAACAGGUCAUGAGCAAAUUUAUUCAACAAAUAACAUUACCUAGAAGCGACUACACAGAAGGAACCAUGGAAACUUAUUUAAAGUGCAUCUGGUGAAAUGAAGUAUAAAUGUUCCUGUUGGAUCUUCAAUUAUCUCCAAUGUAUUAUUUAUAUUUGUGAGAAAGUAGUUUCUCAAUUCCUGCAGCUCCAUACUUUCAAAAUUCUGCAAUUUAACUUUCUUUUAACUCAUGCCUCC
rnacentral:lncRNA from 1 species